GACGAAGGAUGCAAGCGUUAUCCGGAUUCAUUGGGUUUAAAGGGAGCGUAGGCGGACUUGUAAGUCAGUGGUGAAAUCUGUGGGCUUAACCCACAAACUGCCAUUGAUACUGCAGGUCUAGAGUACAGUUGCCGUUGGCGGAAUAUGACAUGUAGUGGUGAAAUACUUAGAUAUGUCAUAGAACACCGAUUGCGAAGGCAGCUAACGAAGCUGUAACUGACGCUGAGGCUCGAAAGUGCGGGGAU
rnacentral:rRNA from 1 species